AACUGAUACUACCUGCGGGAACCUGCGGAGGGAUCAUUGCUGGAACGCGCCCCAGGCGCACCCAGAAACCCUUUGUGAACUUAUACCUUACUGUUGCCUCGGCGCAUGCCGGCCCCCAGGGGCCCCUCGGAGACGAGGAGCAGGCACGCCGGCGGCCAACCUAACUCUUGUUUUUACACUGAAACUCUGAGAAAAAAAACAAAAUGAAUCAAAACUUUCAGCAACGGAUCUCUAGAUCGG
rnacentral:misc_RNA from 1 species